rnacentral:rRNA from 1 species
AUUCAUCUAUUAAAAAUUUGCCUCGGCAUAAUUUUUUUUGAUGAUCUUGUUACUUUGAGUAAAUUAGAGUGUUCAAAGCAAACAGAUAUAGCAUUUGUGCGUUUGAAUACUACAGCAUGGAAUAACAAAAUUGAACAAGUCAGAAUUUUUUUGUUCUUUUUUCUUAUUUUGGCUUAGUUACGAUUAAUAGGAGUAGCUUGGGGGCAUUUGUAUUCAGAUGUCAGAGGUGAAAUUCUUAGAU